AUUGAACGCUGGCGGCAUGCCUUACACAUGCAAGUCGAACGGCAGCACGGGAGCAAUCCUGGUGGCGAGUGGCGAACGGGUGAGUAAUAUAUCGGAACGUGCCCAGUAGUGGGGGAUAACUGCUCGAAAGAGCAGCUAAUACCGCAUACGACCUGAGGGUGAAAGGGGGGGAUCGCAAGACCUCUCGCUAUUGGAGCGGCCGAUAUCAGAUUAGCUAGUUGGUGGGGUAAAAGCCUACCAAGGCAACGAUCUGUAGUUGGUCUGAGAGGACGACCAGCCACGCUGGGACUGUGACACGGCACAGACUCCUACGGGAGGCAGCAGUGGGUAAUUUUGGACAAUGGGCGCAAGCCUGAUCCAGCAAUGCCGCGUGCAGGAAGAAGGCCUUCGGGUUGUAAACUGCUUUUGUCAGGGAAGAAAUCCUCUAGGUUAAUACCCUUGGGGGGAUGACGGUACCUGAAGAAUAAGCACCGGCUAACUACGUGCCAGCCGCCGCCGUAACAC
rnacentral:rRNA from 1 species